rnacentral:rRNA from 1 species
GUGGGGAAUAUUGGACAAUGGGGGCAACCCUGAUCCAGCGAUGCCGCGUGAGUGAAGAAGGCCUUCGGGUUGUAAAGCUCUUUCACCUGAGACGAUGAUGACGGUAUCAGGAGAAGAAGCACCGGCUAACUCUGUGCCAGCAGCCGCGGUAAGACAGAGGGUGCUAGCGUUGUUCGGAAUGACUGGGCGUAAAGGGCGCGUAGGCUGCCUUUUAAGUCAGGCGUGAAAGCCCCGGGCUUAACCUGGGAACUGCGUUUGAUACUGAAAGGCUUGAGUGCGGAAGAGGAUAGUGGAAUUCCUAGUGUAGAAGUGAAAUUCGUAGAUAUUAGGAGGAACACCGGAGGCGAAGGCGACUCUCUGGUCCGCAACUGACGCUGAGGCGCGAAAGCGUGGGGAGCAAACAGGAUUAGAAACCCCUGUAGUCC